GUGUCAGCAGCCGCGGUAAUACGAAGGGUGCAAGCGUUACUCGGAAUUACUGGGCGUAAAGCGUGCGUAGGCGGUUCGUUAAGUCUGUCGUGAAAGCCCUGGGCUCAACCUGGGAAUUGCGAUGGAUACUGGCGAGCUAGAGUACGGUAGAGGAUGGUGGAAUUCCCGGUGUAGCGGUGAAAUGCGUAGAGAUCGGGAGGAACACCCGUGGCGAAGGCGGCCAUCUGGACCAGUACUGACGCUGAGGCACGAAAGCGUGGGGAGCAAACAGGAUUAGAUACCCUGGUAGUCC
rnacentral:rRNA from 1 species